UACAGAGGUCUCAAGCGUUUGUUCGGAUUCAUUGGGCGUAAAGGGUGCGUAGGCGGCGCGGUAAGUCGGGUGUGAAAUCUCGGGAGCUUAACUCCGAAACUGCAUUCGAUACUGCCGUGCUUGAGGACUGGAGAGGAGACUGGAAUUUACGGUGUAGCGGUGAAAUGCGUAGAUAUCGUAAGGAAGACCAGUGGCGAAGGCGGGUCUCUGGGCAGUAACUGACGCUGAGGAGCGAAAGCGUGGGGAGCGAACAGG
rnacentral:rRNA from 1 species